CCUACGGGGGGCUGCAGUGGGGAAUAUUGGACAAUGGGGGGAACCCUGAUCCAGCCAUGCCGCGUGUGUGAAGAAGGCCCUCGGGUUGUAAAGCACUUUCAGUGAGGAAGAACGCCUGGUGGUUAAUACCCAUCAGGAAAGACAUCACUCACAGAAGAAGCACCGGCUAACUCCGUGCCAGCAGCCGCGGUAAUACGGAGGGUGCGAGCGUUAAUCGGAAUUACUGGGCGUAAAGCGCGCGUAGGUGGCUUGAUAAGCCGGGUGUGAAAGCCCCGGGCUCAACCUGGGAACGGCAUCCGGAACUGUCAAGCUAGAGUGCAGGAGAGGAAGGUAGAAUUCCAGGUGUAGCGGUGAAAUGCGUAGAGAUCGGGAGGAAUACCAGUGGCGAAGGCGGCCUUCUGGACUGAAACUGACACUGAGGUGCGAAAGCGUGGGUAGCAAACAGGAUUAGAUACCCUAGUAGUC
rnacentral:rRNA from 1 species